rnacentral:rRNA from 1 species
AGAGGGUGAGGCCUGCCCAAUGGUUGUAUCUAAAAGCGGUUGAUAAAAGUCGACCUCGUAAGGACAAUUGAAUGGCCGCGGUAACACUGACCGUGAUAAUGUAGCGUAAUCAAUAGCCAAUUAAUUGUUGGCCAGUAUGAAUGGCGCCACGAAGGCCCCACUGUCUUAAGGAAAUUCCCAGUGAAAUUGAAUUCGUAGUGAAGAUGCUACGUCCAAUUUGUUAGACGAAAAGACCCCGUUGAGCUUUACUGGGGCACUUACACGGCCCCGGCCUUCCAAACUAGGCUUACUAUGCCUAGAGGUCGGCCGAAUUUAAAUGGGUGGUUUAGAUUAUGUGGCAGCCCCCCGUCGGGGCAGAUGAAACCCCACUCCCCCAUGUCAAAGGGGCUAACCCCCCCCCUUGGGGGGGGACAGUGUAAGUAGGACAGUUUGGUUGGGGCGACCGCCUUUUAAAGAGUAACGAAGGUGCGCUUAAGGUGCGCAAAUAAUGACUGAAGCCUGACUGCGAGGGGGACACCCCGAGCAGACACCCCCAAGCCUGCCCUAAGGGCGGCGGUGGGGUGGGCCAUAGUGACCCGUUAAUUUAGAGUGGAAUAGUUAACGAUCAACGAAUAAAAGUUACCACGGGGAUAACAGCGUAAUAUCGUUAGAGAGUUCACAUCGACGACGAUGUUUGCGACCUCGAUGUUGAAUUGCGGCAUCCUGGGGUGCAGCCGCUC